rnacentral:rRNA from 1 species
AACGAACGCUGGCGGCAUGCCUAACACAUGCAAGUCGAACGCGUGUAGCAAUACACGAGUGGCGGACGGGUGAGUAACGCGUGGGAACCUGCCCAAUGGUAGGGAAUAACUGCGGGAAACUGCAGCUAAUACCCUAUGCUCCCUACGGGGGAAAGAUUUAUCGCCAUUGGAGGGGCCCGCGUCGGAUUAGCUAGUUGGCGGGGUAACGGCCCACCAAGGCUACGAUCCGUAGCUGGUCUGAGAGGAUGAUCAGCCACACUGGGACCUGAGAUACGGCCCAGACUCCUACGGGAGGCAGCAGUGGGGAAUAUUGGACAAUGGGGGAAACCCUGAUCCAGCAAUGCCGCGUGAGUGAAGAAGGCCUUAGGGUUGUAAAGCUCUUUCGGCGGGACGAUGGUGACGGUACCCGCAGAAGAAGCCCCGGCUAACUUCGUGCCAGCAGCCGCAGUAAU